GAGACCGGAGAAAAAUUCCAGCGUCCCGAAAUCCGAAGGUACAGGUGAAGAAAAUUUCGUCCGACGAAUCGACGAAUGAAAUGGAUUUUUGUCGCGCAGAUGCUUCGUCAACGACGACCGAUCGAUUUACUUCAAUGAGAACAUCCGCGAAACGGAAAUGACUGUGUUUACACAUGUAUCGUGGAAAUCAUCGCGUGCAGAAUCGUAGAAUCUAUGCCGUGUAGUGACACAGAUAGGAAAGUGUCACGAAGGCGGUUACGCUUCACUUUCAAUGCCAAGCGUAGUAAAAGUAAUAAAGAGAAUGCUCGAUCCAUCACUUUAAACGUCGUUGAUUGUCCA
rnacentral:misc_RNA from 1 species